GUUCAGUACCUAACCUAUUUUAUACUCUCCUUUCAGUGUAAUCCUCUUAAGGACCUCCACUGGAUGCUGGUUCGGUUACCCUCACGACUCCGUUUGAUGGGAUAAGGACUUCGUUUCGUCUUGCCUCCAAUCUCGUUUGCCAGGAGUCUCCUCAAGUUCUGCUCACCAGAGACCGUUGUUUGCAGUUUCGUUGGUUUUUCUUGUCGUUUCGAGCUCAGUCUGGACUUGGAUGUCACUUCAAGAAAGAGGAAGUGUACAGGCAGCAUGACCCUUAUAUAUACUAUGCUGCUCGGUG